rnacentral:lncRNA from 13 species
AUGGAGACAUGGAACUCACCCUUACAAGGCCUAGAACCUGACAGAGCAUGCGAGACAGAAGCCCAAAUAACUAAGAACAGGAAGCUAAAGUCCCCUUGUAGGUCACUCAUGGGGAACUGCAUAGGCUGCGGGGAUUGCCUCAGUUGUGCCUCAUGCCAGGAGGCAGAGGUGCUGUCUUGUGAAUGUGAGACUCAGUCUGCUGCAGCUGAAGCACCAGCAUCCACCACUGCAGAGACUGCUGUUUUACAUCCCGGAGUGGCGGAGGUCCAGCACGUGCAGCCCAUCAAGUCAAAGCGGCGCAAAGGUAAAGAAGCCACGGGCGCCAUUUGCUCUCUGGCCACCACCUCCCCCACCUACUUCCCAUUCCCUCACCCAAGAGACAGCCUCAGUUUCCAGCUCCCUCCUGCCUAUAGCCAGCUUUCCCAGGGCUGGGCAUGGGGUCAAAGGCUAGUCCUGCCUCUUGUCUUUGUUGUUGAGCCUUCUUGCUUGAGGCAUUUUUGGUCUAGUCUCUUUCUUUCCCUGAUGAAAAUUCAGAUACUCCAGCUUUGGAAUCUCCAUCCCAUUCUCUAGCCUUACCUAUCCAGCUACUAUGGUACCUCAGUGAAGGAGCCGGUUAAAGGCCCAAUCAUUUCUUUUCUCCUAUUCGAUAAGGAAGCUAAUAAUUGGGAUAAUUCAGACUCAAAUAUUUGGAGACUUCUUAAAUUUAAAAUAGAGUUUGCCAUGGAAGAGAUUAUAUGGUGUUCUUAAUAGAUGGUUUGGAGUCACCUUGACAGAAGCAGCUUUAUUUCUUCCAAUUGUAAUUUGAAAACAGAAGGAAAAAUUGAGGGACAUGCUUAAAAUGACUGCAAAAGGUAUGAAAUGUUACUGCCAGAGCUGUAAAGAAGUUGUUUUUGUUUUGGUUUUACCCAAAAGUUUAGCCGAGGAGCUGUGAUUACUUUAAAAUUCCCACUUUGACAUGAAUGUCUCUUCAGCCCUUCUCCAGUAACUUCACGGGCUUUGUUUACCUCCUUGUUCUGAAAGACAGGUAGAGCUAGCUCCUGGUUACAGGUUCAAAAAGAGAUGAAAUGACUUUAGACUUGAAUUUGUAAGGUAAAGACUUGAGAGUUAGAAGGCCAGACUCUGCCUAUGGAAAAGAGUUUGUUUUCAUGGCUCCCCUUCCUACAGGAUGGGAAAGGGGAGGAGAGAGGAAACAUUUCUUUUUUCUAUGGUCAAAUUGAAGACAAAAACUAACACUUGUAAGACAGGAGAGGAGCAUUUAGUUACAAAAUCAGUCAAACGUUUGUAUAUCACUACAUUUGUUGAGCAAAGAAAAGCUACCAGACUCAGAAAACCAGAGAUGCUAAUGGAACUGACAGGGUUUUCUACUGAGUUCAGCCCCCAAUAACAACCUCCCUCCCCUCCACACACUUUUCUCAGGACUGGAAAGCUUAGGCAGCCCAGGAUGAAUAAUGCAGUCACAUGGGGGGGAACAGUGACCCCAGGUGAGCAGCAGCAGGGGUGGGCAUUGUGGGCCAUUGGGUGGGGUUGUGGGGCAGGGCAUUGUGAGCCAGUAGCCUGACUUGGUUGUUUC